UUUUAAAUGUGAGCGGGACAGAAAACCUGUGCGCGUACAUUUAAGAAUUGAGGAUACUGAGCUGAAGUAUUCCCUUUUAACGAAAAUGUAUCAAAAAAUAUGUGCAGUAAUAACCCGCUCGAUUGCGUGCCAAAUGAAGUCUUGAAGAUAAAAGUUUGAGUCCCCCUCCUGCCCCUCCUCUCCAGAAUAUCAGUAAGUGAGAUACGGAGGUCUUGAGGAGUACACCUGGUGGUCCAGCACUGAAAGUGAACUGACCUGACUGAACUACGGAGGUCAUCUCAGGGGUGGACAUCAGAGGUUGGCGACGGAGCAGCGGUCCUGCCCGGGGGGCAACAGCUGCAGGAAGUGUGUAGCAGUGGAGGAGGAGGAGGAGGAGAAAAGGGAUGAAGGAGAGCAAGAAAGCUUUGGGAAAGAAACCAUCGCUUGCGUUACAGGCAUUUUGUGUAAAACCAUUAAAGGCAUUUACCGUAAACCCAA